rnacentral:rRNA from 1 species
AGAGUUUGAUCCUGGCUCAGGAUGAACGCUAGCGGCAGGCCUAAUACAUGCAAGUCGAACGGUGUCUUCGGACAUAGUGGCGCACGGGUGCGUAACACGUAUGCAACCUACCUUACAUUGGGGGAUAGCCUUUCGAAAGGGAGAUUAAUACCGCAUAAGACAGUAGCUGGGCAUCCAGCAGCUGUUAAAGAUUUAUCGAUGUAAGAUGGGCAUGCGUCCAAUUAGUUAGUUGGCGAGGUAACGGCUCACCAAGACUUUGAUUGGUAGGGGAACUGAGAGGUCAAUCCCCCACACUGGCACUGAGAUACGGGCCAGACUCCUACGGGAGGCAGCAGUAGGGAAUAUUGGGCAAUGGACGCAAGUCUGACCAGCCAUGCCGCGUGCAGGAUGAAGGCGUUAUGCGUUGUAAACUGCUUUUUACAGGAAGAAACGACUCUUGCGAGAGGCAUUGACGGUACUGUAUGAAUAAGCACCGGCUAA